GGUGUACCUAAAGUCGGUAACCGCAAGGAGCCGCCUAGGGUAAAACUAGUAACUGGGGCUAAGUCGUAACAAGGUAGCCGUAUCGGAAGGUGCGGCUGGAAUACCUCCUUUUUAGAGCUCUUU
rnacentral:rRNA from 1 species